UACGGAGGGGACUAGCGUUGUUCGGAAUUACUGGGCGUAAAGCGCACGUAGGCGGAUUGUUUAGUCAGGGGUGAAAUCCCGAGGCUCAACCUCGGAACUGCCUUUGAUACUGGCAAUCUCGAGUCCGGAAGAGGUGAGUGGAAUUCCUAGUGUAGAGGUGAAAUUCGUAGAUAUUAGGAAGAACACCAGUGGCGAAGGCGCGACUGGCC
rnacentral:rRNA from 1 species